rnacentral:lncRNA from 1 species
CCCCCUCUUGUUUUUUACUCCAUAACUCAGAUCAAAAUGUCUUAAUCAUCUUGUCUUAUUGAUGGGAAAUGUUUUGAUUACUAAAAUAUGGCUCUUUAAUCAAGAUUAGGUUUACAACCAAUGCAUCGGGCUUGUCAGCGGAUUUACAGCACAGAUCAAGUUAAAAUGAAGAAACUCUGGAGAAAUAAGGAAAACCAGAUUAAGGAUGAAACUGAAAAAUCGUCACCCUAUCUUUUCUUUACCUAUACUAAUAAAGGACCUAUCGCUUCUGCACGUAUGUCAGCAAUUUUGGAAAAGAGCCCCUGCUGUUUUGGGUAUUCAACCAGCAGUCCUCGAUGAGUU